ACUCUCCCAGCUCUGCAUGUUUACACUUGUCCUCACUCGUGUGACUUUCGUAAUGUGGAGAGAGAGAAAAGUUCUCCUCAGGAUGUCAGGUUGGCCUUACAGUGGCCCUGAGGAGUCCAACAGGG
ensembl:snoRNA